UACGUAGGGUGCGAGCGUUAAUCGGAAUUACUGGGCGUAAAGCGUGCGCAGGCGGUUCUAUAAGACAGAUGUGAAAUCCCCGGGCUCAACCUGGGAAUGGCAUUUGUGACUGUAGAGCUAGAGUACGGUAGAGGGGGAUGGAAUUCCGCGUGUAGCAGUGAAAUGCGUAGAUAUGUGGAGGAACACCAAUGGCGAAGGCAGCCCCCUGGGAUAACACUGACGCUCAUGUACGAAAGCGUGGGUAGCAAACAGGAUUAGAUACCCCUGUAGUCC
rnacentral:rRNA from 1 species